GCCGGGGUGGCCGAGCGGUCAAAGGCGACACCGCCCAAGGGCGGCGCUAAGGGCUGCAGAGAAUGCCGAAGAGACCCGUUAAAUCGCGGGUUCGAAUCCCGCCCCCGGCU
rnacentral:tRNA from 1 species